GAUGAACGCUGGCGGCGUGCCUAGUACAUGCAAGUCGAGCGAACGGACGAGAAGCUUGCUUCUCUGAUGUUAGCGGCGGACGGGUAAGUAACACGUGGAUAACCUACCUAUAAGACUGGGAUAACUUCGGGAAACCGGAGCUAAUACCGGAUAAUAUUUUGAACCGCAUGGUUCAAAAGUGAAAGACGGUCUUGCUGUCACUUAUAGAUGGAUCCGCGCUGCAUUAGCUAGUUGGUAAGGUAACGGCUUACCAAGGCAACGAUGCAUAGCCGACCUGAGAGGGUGAUCGGCCACACUGGAACUGAGACACGGUCCAGACUCCUACGGGAGGCAGCAGUAGGGAAUCUUCCGCAAUGGGCGAAAGCCUGACGGAGCAACGCCGCGUGAGUGAUGAAGGUCUUCGGAUCGUAAAACUCUGUUAUUAGGGAAGAACAUAUGUGUAAGUAACUGUGCACAUCUUGACGGUACCUAAUCAGAAAGCCACGGCUAACUACGUG
rnacentral:rRNA from 1 species